rnacentral:rRNA from 1 species
CCUACGGGGGGCAGCAGUGGGGAAUAUUGGACAAUGGGGGCAACCCUGAUCCAGCCAUGCCGCGUGUGUGAAGAAGGCCCUCGGGUUGUAAAGCACUUUCAGUGAGGAAGAACGCCUGGUGGUUAAUACCCAUCAGGAAAGACAUCACUCACAGAAGAAGCACCGGCUAACUCCGUGCCAGCAGCCGCGGUAAUACGGAGGGUGCGAGCGUUAAUCGGAAUUACUGGGCGUAAAGCGCGCGUAGGUGGCUUGAUAAGCCGGUUGUGAAAGCCCCGGGCUCAACCUGGGAACGGCAUCCGGAACUGUCAAGCUAGAGUGCAGGAGAGGAAGGUAGAAUUCCCGGUGUAGCGGUGAAAUGCGUAGAGAUCGGGAGGAAUACCAGUGGCGAAGGCGGCCUUAUGGACUGACACUGACACUGAGGUGCGAAAGCGUGGGUAGCAAACAGGAUUAGAUACCCGUGUAGUC